rnacentral:rRNA from 1 species
GACGAACGCUGGCGGCGUGCUUAACACAUGCAAGUCGAACGGAAAGGCCCUGCUUGCAGGGUACUCGAGUGGCGAACGGGUGAGUAACACGUGGGUGAUCUGCCCUGCACUUCGGGAUAAGCCUGGGAAACUGGGUCUAAUACCGGAUAGGAGCCAUUUUUAGUGUGAUGGUUGGAAAGUUUUUUCGGUGUAGGAUGAGCUCGCGGCCUAUCAGCUUGUUGGUGGGGUAAUGGCCUACCAAGGCGGCGACGGGUAGCCGGCCUGAGAGGGUGGACGGCUACAUUGGGACUGAGAUACGGCCCAGACUCCUACGGGAGGCAGCAGUGGGGAAUAUUGCACAAUGGGCGCAAGCCUGAUGCAGCGACGCCGCGUGGGGGAUGACGGCCUUCGGGUUGUAAACUCCUUUCGCUAGGGACGAAGCUUUUUGUGACGGUACCUAGAGAAGAAGCACCGGCUAACUACGUG